AUGCCCUCUGGGAGGGCUGUAGAGCCAGCCAUGAGGCUAAGGGAGAGGAAUCUCUUCCCCCAGCAGACUCUGCCCUAUGCUCUGUCCUCCUGGCUCCCAGGACCAGCAGUUCUCUGGUUGGAACACACAUUGGAAGGGUCUAGCUGUGGCCCUUAUAUGGAAGAGGGCCGAUUUCCCUGCCUGGUUAUCCAAAGUGCCCUCACAAAGCCUCUGCGUGAGUCCAGGGGCACCGCAGGGAGCCUUGGCAGACCCAGGGACUGCUUACUGUCUUUUGUGACUUUGGUAGGUGAACCUGGGGUGUGGUUUGAAAUUGACCACGUUGGUCAUUUUUAUGAAUCGAUUUGUGCAAACAAACCCGUGGGAAGUGUUCCUAAUAUAAACAGCCUGAGUUAUUGCCAUCUCACCUUCAUCUGACCCCCGGGAGCUCUAAAGAAAAGCCCAUCAUACUCACCUGGCCUUCAGCCCGAACCAGGCAAUUAGGCCGCUAGCCAGGAUGAGACUGAAAGAGAAGGAGCCUCCAAGUCUGAUGACACCCGCUGUUCCCUUGGCUUGUGCUAUGCACUGACCAUCGUAUCUCUUGUAUAAGUGAGGCAAGUAUGAUCAUCUCCAUUUUAUAAGACAGGAAAUUGAAACUUGGAGUUCAAUGUAUUUCCCACGAUCACACAACUAUGUAAGCUGCAGUGUUAGGAUUCAAACCCAGCUCUCUCUCCAAAACCUACUCGUUAGCCAGCCCCUGCCUCUUCUUGUACUUAGCUUUGGGUUUCAGGUUCUUGACUCAUAGUCUGUGUGAACUCCCACCUUCUAGACUUGGGCAGUGCACAGCCUGCACAUCUGUAGAGUGGCUCAAACCAAGUUUAAUUGGCUUGAAACCAUCCCAAGGCCAAGAUUCUAAACCUGGCCUAAAAUCUAGAGUUUUGCUGCUCCAAAUAUAAUCCCUGCCCUGAAGGGUCAGCAGUGUAACCUUUUUAGGAAUGUAAACUUGGGGGGCCCACUCCAGAUCUAAUGAAUCACAAUCUUCAAACCUGGAGACCAGGAAUCUAUACCCAGGGCUUCUCCACUUUGAUGUGCACUGAAAUCACCUAGGGAUCUUAUUAAAUGCAGAUUCUGAUUCAGGAGGGCUAAGGAGAUCAUGUUGAGCUUCUGCUUCUUUAGCCAGCUCUGGGAUGAUGUGAAUGCCCCGAGCCACAUUCGGAAUAACAUGGCUCUACAUUAGCUGUUCUCAAACUUAAGCCUGCAUUCAAAUCACUUGGAGGGCUUCUUAAUACACAGAUUUCUGGGCCACAUCCCAAGAGAAUCUGAUUCAGAGGGUCUGGGAUGAGGCCCAAGACUUUACACUUCUAACAAGUCUCCAGGUGAUGCACAGGGACCCCAGUUUGAGAACCACUGUUCUAGCCUACCAGAACUUUCUUAAAUUAGACAAUUAACCUCAUUGCUUGGUAUCUCCGUGAGCUCUACUCCAUCCCCUAAUCCUGUAAUUUUAGAGCUGAAAGAGACUUCAGAUACCAGAGGCAAAGCCAGGAUUAAGCAUCCUGUCUCUAUUCAGCAUUGUUUACUCUCCUGCUGGCUCUGAAGGCUCCAUAAAUUCUCCAGCAUCCAGCAACUGCAGUAUUUUGGGGGAGCUCUCCAUCUUGAGCCAGCUUUGCAGGCGCUUGAAUCCCAAUCCGACACAUAUGUCAUAGGCACAAUCCGUGAAAACACAGGGUCCUCCUACUUCACAGUUCUGUGAAGAUAGAGCUUUGGAAAAAACCAGCAGCCAGGCUGGCAGCCGUGGUGGAGAGAAAAUGCAGCAGCUUGUAGGCAAACCCAGACAGACAAG
rnacentral:lncRNA from 1 species